rnacentral:rRNA from 1 species
AACGAACGCUGGCGGCAGGCCUUACACAUGCAAGUCGAACGUGAAAGUCCUUCGGGAUGAGUAAAGUGGCGCACGGGUGAGUAACGCGUGGGAGCGUACCCUUCAGUACGGGAUAACAGCGGGAAACUGCUGCUAAUACCGUAUAUUCUCGAGAGAGGAAAGAUUUAUCGCUGAAGGAUCGGCCCGCGUCAGAUUAGCUGGUUUGUGGGGUAAUGGCCUACCAGGGCUACGAUCCGUAGCUGGUCUGAGAGGAAGAUCAGCCACACUGGAACUGAGACACGGUCCAGACUCCUACGGGAGGCAGCAGUGGGGAAUAUUGGACAAUGGGCGAAAGCCUGAUCCAGCCAUGCCGCGUGAAUGAUGAAGGCCUUAGGGUUGUAAAGUUCUUUUGACGGGGAAGAUAAUGACGGUACCCGUAGAAUAAGCUCCGGCUAACUUCGUGCCAGCCGCCGCAGUAA